rnacentral:rRNA from 1 species
AGUCGAGCGGUAAGGCCACUUCGGUGGUACACGAGCGGCGAACGGGUGAGUAACACGUGAGCAACCUGCCCUUCUCUUUGGAAUAAGCGUUGGAAACGACGUCUAAUGCCGAAUAUGACCUCUUUUCGCAUGAUUUGAGGUGGAAAGCUCCGGCGGAGAGGGAUGGGCUCGCGGCCUAUCAGCUAGUUGGUGUGGGUAAUGGCCCACCAAGGCGACGACGGGUAGCCGGCCUGAGAGGGUGACCGGCCACACUGGGACUGAGACACGGCCCAGACUCCUACGGGAGGCAGCAGUGGGGAAUAUUGGACAAUGGGCGAAAGCCUGAUCCAGCAACGCCGCGUGAGGGAUGACGGCCUUCGGGUUGUAAACCUCUUUCAGCGGGGACGAAGCGAAAGUGACGGUACCCGCAGAAGAAGGACCGGCCAACUACGUGCCAGCAGCCGCGGUAAUACGUAGGGUCCGAGCGUUGUCCGGAAUUAUUGGGCGUAAAGGGCUCGUAGGCGGUCUGUCGCGUCGGGAGUGAAAACUCAGGGCUCAACCCUGAGCGUGCUUCCGAUACGGGCAGACUAGAGGUAUGCAGGGGAGAACGGAAUUCCUGGUGUAGCGGUGGAAUGCGCAGAUAUCAGGAGGAACACCGGUGGCGAAGGCGGUUCUCUGGGCAUUACCUGACGCUGAGGAGCGAAAGCAUGGGGAGCGAAC